rnacentral:rRNA from 1 species
UACGUAGGGUGCGAGCGUUAAUCGGAAUUACUGGGCGUAAAGUGUGCGCAGGCGGCCGAGCAAGUCGAGUGUGAAAGCCCCGAGCUUAACUUGGGAACUGCGCUCGAAACUACUUGGCUAGAGUGUGGCAGAGGGAGGUGGAAUUCCACGUGUAGCGGUGAAAUGCGUAGAGAUGUGGAGGAACACCGGUGGCGAAGGCGGCAUCCUGGACCGACACUGACACUGAGGAGCGAAAGCCAGGGGAGCAAACGGG